rnacentral:rRNA from 1 species
CGGCAAAGCAAAUGAAGCGGACGAGGGGGAACUCUUUAGGACAAACAAACAAAGGGGAAGGGGUAGCUAUCCUUCGAACUCGCCGCGUGUAGGAAUCUUGUACAGAGUUCGAUUCCCGGCGGUGCAGUUCCCAUGGACGAGCAGUUCAUCCUCCGCGUGUCCCCAUCCGUGGCGGAGCAGAUCGAGCGUCUUAUGAACGAAUCUGCCGCUGGCUCAUCCUCCAACCCCGACGACGCCUCCCUUGACCUCUCCUUCUCAGAGGAUGGAAGGAGUGGCACAUUUAUGAUUGGUAACCAGAGGUUUCCUGCAUCUCUCUUGGAUCUCCCAACCGUUGUGGAGUCAUAUAAGACAUAUGAUGAUUCCUUUUUAGUUAAAACUGCUGAUAUUGGUCAGAUGGUAAUGGUAAGAGAAGAAGAUGAUCCUGCUCCAGAAGGAGCUGAAUACGAGCAUGGACUUACUCCUCCAAUGAGGGAUGCACGCAGGCGACGUUUUCGCAGAGAGCCUGACUUGAAUGCAGAGCUUGUUCACCGAGUUGAGAAGGAUCUUAUAAGUAUUAUGCAAGGAGUGCCUGUCAGUAUCCUUUUGGUCCGUGUGAUUUGCCAAAUGCAUCUUAGAUUGCAAUAGAACAAAUGACUAGUAAUUUAUUCUUUUCUGUACUGUUUAGUUGGUAGUUUUGCACUUCCAUUGCCUCAUCAACUUCCUGAUGAAUAAACUGCUUGCCCUUUACUUUAGAAGCCAUGAUGUCCAUAUGUAGUUCCCUGUUGAUAAGGAUAAUGCUGAGAAUCUUUUAAGCAUGUCAUUAUAGUGAUUGUGUAUAGAGGUUUCCAAACCUAACCUUCAAUACCUGGAAUGCCUUGUUGAAAGUUGUUUUGUAUCACGACUGCAUCACGUUCAUGGGUCAAACCAUCAUAAAAGGAAACCUCGCUGUUUAUAUGCAAAUAUGCCUGCGUGUAAAGUUCUUUAACUUGUUCGUAGACCAGAAUGCUAGUGUAGCUGGAGGCGGUGAAGGUGGUGAUCGCAAGAAAGCUGCACCAGCUCCUGCACCCAAGCCUGACGUUCAAGAGCCUGCUGCAAAUGGUGAAGAAGCUGAGGCUGAUCGGAGCGACUCUGACGAGUCAGACAGCUGAAGUGGACCAGAAUAGACAGUGCUGCUUCAGUAGGCCGAGCAAACCCAGUGUAUGUAUUAGGUAAUUCAGAUCAAAGAACGCACACUUUUACCAAGCAAGCACGCUUGUUGUCUUCUACUGUACCAAUUAUCAUCUCAUCAGUAAUAAUAAGAGUGACUUUCCAUUAUGGUGGAAAAGUGUCCGUAUCCUCCCAUAAGGUGGCGCUCGAGUCUUUAUUUGUUCAGCCGGAUGUUGAUUAUUGAUUACCAGUGCCGUAAUGUUGCUGAUUU